UACAGAGGGGGCAAGCGUUAUUCGGAAUUAUUGGGCGUAAAGGGCGCGUAGGCGGCCUGGCAAGUGGAAGGUGAAAUCCCUCGGCUUAACCGAGGAACUGCCCUCCAAACUGCUUGGCUUGAGACCGGGAGAGGUGAGUGGAAUUCCCAGUGUAGCGGUGAAAUGCGUAGAUAUUGGGAGGAACACCAGUGGCGUAGGCGGCUCACUGGACCGGUACUGACGCUGAUGCGCGAAAGCGUGGGGAGCAAACGGG
rnacentral:rRNA from 1 species